GCCCAGACUCCUACGGGAGGCAGCAGUGAGGAAUAUUGGUCAAUGGGCGGGAGCCUGAACCAGCCAAGCCGCGUGAAGGAAGAAGGCGCCAGGCGUCGUAAACUUCUUUUGUCGGGGAACAAAGGGCGCCACGCGUGGCGUUGUGAGUGUACCCGAAGAAAAAGCAUCGGCUAACUCCGUGCCAGCAGCCGCGGUAAUACGGAGGAUGCGAGCGUUAUCCGGAUUUAUUGGGUUUAAAGGGUGCGUAGGCGGUCGGGAAAGUCAGGGGAAAAGGCCGGGGGCUCAACCCCGGCGAGCCGUUGAAACUGUCGGACUAGAGACGGCGAGAAGUACGCGGAAUGCGCGGUGUAGCGGUGAAAUGCUUAGAUAUCGCGCAGAACCCCGAUUGCGAAGGCAGCGUACCGGCUCCACACUGACGCUGAGGCACGAAAGCGUGGGUAUCGAACAGGAUUAGAUACCCGUGUAC
rnacentral:rRNA from 1 species